rnacentral:rRNA from 1 species
UUGACCAGUCAGGUGUGAAAUUCCCGGGCUUAACCUGGGGGCUGCACUUGAUACUGUCAGGCUUGAAUUCGGGAGAGGAUAGCGGAAUUCCCAGUGUAGAGGUGAAAUUCGUAGAUAUUGGGAAGAACACCGGUGGCGAAGGCGGCUAUCUGGACCGACAUUGACGCUGAGGCGCGAAAGCGUGGGGAGCAAACAGGAUUAGAUACCCGGGUAGUC